ensembl:lncRNA
GGAGGGGGUUAGUGGUGGUAGUGAUGGAGGGGGUUAGUGGUAGUAGUGAUGGAGGGGGUUAGGGGUAGUAGUGAUGGAGGGGGUUAGGGGUAGUAGUGAUGGACGGGGUUUAGUGGUGGUAGUGAUGGACGGGGGUUAGUGGUGGUAGUGAUGGAGGGGGGUUAGUGGUGGCAGUGGCGAGGGGGAGGGUUUUGCCAAUAGAUGGGUUUUUGUUGACACCUGACACCCUAGACCCACUCCAAUUUGCUUACCGCCCAAAUAGGUCCACAGACGAUGCAAUCUCAACCACACUGCACACUGCCCUAACCAAUCUGGACAAGAGGAAUACCUAUGUGAGAAUGCUUUUCAUCAACUACAGCUCGGCAUUCAACACCAUAGUACCCUCCAAGCUCGUCAUCAAGCUCGAGACCCUGGGUCUCGACCCCGCCCUGUGCAACUGGGUCCUGGACUUCCUGACGGGCCGCCCCCAGGUGGUGAGGGUAGGCAACAACAUCUCCACCCCGCUGAUCCUCAACACUGGGGCCCCACAAGGGUGCGUUCUGAGCCCUCUCCUGUACUCCCUGUUCACCCACGACUGCGUGGCCACGCACGCCUCCAACUCAAUCAUCAAGUUUGCGGACGACACAACAGUGGUAGGCUUGAUUACCAACAACGACGAGACGGCCUACAGGGAGGAGGUGAGGGCCCUCGGAGUGUGGUGUCAGGAAAAUAACCUCACACUCAACGUCAACAAAACUAAGGAGAUGAUUGUGGACUUCAGGAAACAGCAGAGGGAAC